UACGGGGGGAGCAAGCGUUGUUCGGAUUUACUGGGCGUAAAGGGCGCGUAGGCGGCCACCGCAAGUCGACUGUGAAAUCUCCGGGCUUAACCCGGAAAGGUCAGCCGAUACUGCGGGGCUAGAGUGCAGAAGGGGCAACUGGAAUUCUCGGUGUAGCGGUGAAAUGCGUAGAUAUCGAGAGGAACACCUGCGGCGAAGGCGGGUUGCUGGGCUGACACUGACGCUGAGGCGCGAAAGCUAGGGGAGCGAACGGGAUUAGAAACCCUCGUAGUCC
rnacentral:rRNA from 1 species